UCCUGCGGCCACGCCCCGGGCCCUGCCCGGCCCCCGCAGCCAGGGCCACCGGCUGCUCUCCGGGCCCGGCCUGCCAGCGCCCAGCUGCCAAAGGACAGCACCAAGCUCCCGAGCGAGGAUUGCUCCGUGUCCCAGCACACCCUGACACUGCCCGGGAGGAAGGGGCCGUGGGAUGGGCUCGGGAAAGGAGCUUUUCCCAAGCUGGAGGAGAAGGUGGGACAGCUGGAGAAGGGAUGCCCUGGGAAGGGCAGGAUGAAAGCCGGCUCCGAGAUGAACCUGCUGGCCCUCGGGAGGUCACUCAAGGGCCACAUCACCGCCAGCUCGGCCGGCUCCGAGGGAUCGUUCCUCAGGCCGCUGCUGAAGCGCAGCACAUCAGCGAGGAGCGCCCUGAGGCCGCCCCAGUCCCCGCUCAUGGCGGGGAAGGGAAAUGUGAUGAGGAAGACAAAGGAGUGGGAGAUGAAAUCCGCGAUGUGAGCACGGAGCGAGAGUCUCCCAGAGAACAUCGGGCCGCACGUGGAUCGUGCAGGACCAGCCUGGAAUCAGCCUGGAAUUUGACUUUUAUCCAUCACUAUCAACGCUACAACUACGCACAUCUAUUUUUAUAUCCAGAUAUAUCGAUACACACAUAUCAGCUCUGCAGCCGUGGGCUGUCCCCACUGCAUCCCCACCUAUCCCAGCAGCUCGUUUUUGGGGUACAGAAUUCCCGGGUAAUUCAGGAACUGCUGGCUCUGUCCCAAAUCCAUCAGCAGUUCCCCAAUCCCCCUCCCAGUACCCCAAAUUUGCAGGGAUGGGUGUGGAUAAACCCUGGAUCCAGCAGGAGUGGGGGGCAGAGAUUUGGGAGGCAUCCGAUUGUCCAUUCCCUGGAGUCAGCGGGACCCGGGCUGGGCCCUGGGCUUUUCCAGCAGCUGAGCUUGGCAGGGCUUGGUUUGAAUUGGAGAAAUGUUAUUUUUUUUAAGGAUUAAAAAAAAAAUUGUCAUAAAACUUGGGUUGUGCUGUGGGAAAGGGAAAGGGGAUGCCCUUGUCCUGGUCCUGGUGAGUGUGGGCUGCAUCCCAGUGAAGGGGUUUGUGGGGUCAAUCCCAUGAAGGAGUUUGUGGGGUCAAUGCCCAUCCCCAUGAAGGAGUUUGUGGGGUCAAUCUCAAUCCCAGGAUGGGUUUUGUGGGGUCAAUCUCAAUCCCAGGAUGGGCUUUGUGGGGUCAAUCUCAAUCCCAGGAUGGGUUUUGUGGGGUCAAUCUCAAUCCCAGGAUGGGUUUUGUGGGGUCAGUCUCAAUCCCAGGAUGGGCUUUGUGGGGUCAGUUCACCCGUGUGAAUUCGUGGGGUCCAUCCGGGCUGGGUUGCUGCCCCACCCUGGUGCUCGGGGGGUUUGUUCCCCUCCAGGUGCCCGGGGUCCAUCCCCAUUCAGAGCUGCCC
rnacentral:lncRNA from 1 species